CAAGUCUGAUGGAGCCCGCCGCGUGAGUGAAGAAGGCCUUCGGCUCGUAAAGCUCUGUUGUUGGGGAGAACGGGACUAAAGAGUAACUGUUUGCUCAUUGACGGUACCUAACCAAAAAGCCCCGGCUAACUACGUG
rnacentral:rRNA from 1 species